rnacentral:rRNA from 1 species
UACAGAGGGGGCAAGCGUUGUUCGGAAUUACUGGGCGUAAAGGGCGCGUAGGCGGCCUGCUAAGUCGAACGUGAAAUCCCUGGGCUCAACCCAGGAACUGCGUCCGAUACUGGUUGGCUUGAAUCCGGGAGAGGGAUGUGGAAUUCCAGGUGUAGCGGUGAAAUGCGUAGAUAUCUGGAGGAACACCGGUGGCGAAGGCGGCCCGCUGGACGGAGACUGACGCUGAGGCGCGAAAGCGUGGGGAGCAAACGGG